rnacentral:piRNA from 1 species
CAGUUCUUUACAGAGCCCAAAGCUCAACGCCU